UACGUAGGGUGCAAGCGUUGUCCGGAAUUAUUGGGCGUAAAGGGCUCGUAGGCGGUUUGUCGCGUCUGCUGUGAAAACCCGAGGCUCAACCUCGGGCCUGCAGUGGGUACGGGCAGACUAGAGUGCGGUAGGGGGAGAUUGGAAUUCCUGGUGUAGCGGUGGAAUGCGCAGAUAUCAGGAGGAACACCAAUGGCGAAGGCAGAUCUCUGGGCCGUAACUGACGCUGAGGAGCGAAAGCAUGGGGAGCAAACAGG
rnacentral:rRNA from 1 species